GGUCAGGGCGGAGCGCGCGGCGCGGGGGCUGCCGGCGGGCAGUUGGGAGCAGGCGACGCCGACGCGAGUUUGGCGGCUGCUGCUUGCGACUGCGGAGGCCGGGCGAGGCCGGUGAGGACGCGGCGGGCGAGCGAGAGGCCGAGGUGUUUUCUUCACUCAUGGUGAAGAAUGGGGGAGAUAGAAGGAACAUACAGAGUCCUGCAGACUGCAGGGACACGCUUGGGUGCCCAGACCCCUGUGGGAGUUAGCACCCUUGAGCCUGGGCAGACUCUCUUGCCCAGAAUGCAAGAGAAGCACCUGCACCUCAGAGUAAAGCUGCUGGACAACACCAUGGAAAUAUUUGACAUUGAGCCUAAAUGCGAUGGCCAGGUAUUACUGACACAAGUGUGGAAGCGUUUAAACCUGGUAGAAUGUGACUACUUCGGGUUGGAGUUUCAAAAUACUCAGUCCUACUGGAUUUGGCUUGAACCUAUGAAACCCAUCAUUAGGCAAAUACGAAGGCCAAAGAAUGUGGUGCUUCGCCUAGCUGUAAAAUUUUUUCCACCUGAUCCUGGUCAGCUACAAGAAGAAUAUACAAGAUACUUGUUUGCCUUGCAACUUAAGAGAGACCUGCUGGAAGAGCGUUUGACCUGUGCUGACACCACAGCGGCCCUUCUCACAUCCCAUCUCCUGCAGUCGGAAAUAGGAGAUUACGAUGAAACGCUGGACCGAGAGCACCUCAAAGCGAACGCGUAUUUGCCUGGCCAGCAGCACUGCCUUGAGAAGAUACUAGAAUUCCAUCAGAAGCACGUGGGCCAGACACCUGCUGAGUCAGAUUUCCAGGUGCUCGAAAUUGCUCGAAAGUUGGAAGUGUACGGCAUCAGAUUUCACAUGGCUUCUGACAGGGAAGGAACCAAGAUUCAACUGGCAGUUUCCCACAUGGGUGUACUCGUGUUCCAGGGCACCACCAAAAUCAACACUUUCAACUGGUCCAAGGUCCGUAAACUAAGCUUCAAGAGGAAAAGAUUUCUUAUCAAACUUCAUCCAGAGGUUCAUGGACCUUACCAGGACACAUUAGAAUUUUUGUUGGGUAGUAGAGAUGAAUGUAAGAACUUCUGGAAGAUUUGUGUGGAGUAUCACACCUUUUUUAGACUUUUGGACCAACCUAAGCCAAAAGCAAAAGCCGUCUUCUUCAGCCGGGGCUCCUCCUUCAGAUACAGUGGAAGAACUCAGAAACAACUAGUAGAUUAUUUCAAAGACAGUGGAAUGAAGAGAAUUCCAUAUGAAAGAAGGCACAGCAAGACCCACAUGUCCGUUCGAGCUCUGACUGCAGACCUACCAAAACAGAGCAUCUCAUUCCCCGAGGGAUUGAGGACUCCUGCCUCCCCAUCUUCAGCGAAUGCCUUUUACUCGCUCUCUCCCUCCACUCUGGUCCCCUCUGGCCUGCCAGAGUUUAAGGACAGCAGCAGCUCCCGCACAGAUCCCCAGGUUUCCUACAUCAAGAGUCCAGCUGCAGAGAGGAGCAGUGGAGCAGUGGCUGGAGGCCCCGACACACCAUCGGCCCAGCCCCUCGGGCCCCCCGCACUCCAGCCUGGUCCAGGCCUUUCCACGAAGAGUCCUCAGCCUUCUCCCUCCAGCCGGAAGAGCCCCCUGAGUCUGAGCCCUGCAUUUCAGGUGCCUUUGGGCCCAGCUGAACAGGGCUCAUCCCCACUCCUGAGCCCUGUCCUCAGUGAUGCUGGCGGAGCCGGGAUGGACUACGAGGAGCCCAGACACAAGCGCGUGCCUGCAGACGAGGCCUACUUCAUAGUCAAAGAGAUUCUCGCUACAGAACGAACAUACCUCAAGGAUUUAGAAGUUAUUACCGUGUGGUUCCGUAGCGCAGUGGUGAAGGAGGACGCCAUGCCUGUGACUCUGAUGACGCUGCUCUUCUCCAACAUCGAUCCCAUCUAUGAGUUCCACAGAGGCUUCCUGCGCGAGGUGGAGCAGAGGCUGGCACUCUGGGAAGGGCCCUCCAAAGCCCACACAAAAGGCAGUCAUCAACGAAUCGGGGACAUCCUGCUCAGGAACAUGCGCCAGUUAAAGGCUGCUCAUGAGUUCACCACGUGACCGCCCAAGGUGUGGAGCUCUGCAUAACACCAUAAAGCUGAGCCACAGUGACGACGACGACGACUCAAGCUCCCCCUCCUCCAUCCCUCGCCUGUCCCACCUUCUACCCAAUCCUGCAAGACUCUGGCCACUCCUCACACCUAGAGUUCCCAAGGGACUAUAGGUUUUGCUGUUCUGUAUUGAGAUAGCCCCACUUGAAGAACUGCAUUCAGCCUAGGUGCCCUUUUCCUGCCUAGACGGAAGCUGAGUCAGGUUGUUAAUGAGAAAGUUCUACUUAUCCCAAAGGCAGUUGCACUAAUUUAAAAUUGAAAUAUGCACAAAUCUGUUUGAUCCAGAUUAUCAUACUGUAGUCAUCUUUAAUGUUCAUUAAAACAAAGGGAUUUGAUAUUAAAACCCUUUAGCUCUGGGGAGGCAGCGAAGAGCUCUGUCCACAAAACCAAAUCUGGGUGUCAGAGGCCAAGACCCCAGGGUGGGAUCAGGGACCACCCCCUCACGGGGCAUAAGGUCAGUUUUCCCCCAGAGCCCGGGCCCCUGUCCCCCCACAGUGCAAGUGUGGUCCCUGGAGCCCUGGUGUGGAGUGGUGAGUCCCGGAGUGGUGCUUGUCUUGGAAAGAGGGGCCCUUGGCCAGCCACCCCUCAGCGACACUAUACAACUCCUGGAGCGCCUGCCAGGAUUGAAGCCAUGACCAGGUGCAGGAGUUUACCAGCUACUUCCAAAGACAUGACGAGGUCCUAACAGAACUGGAAAAGGCUACCAAACGCUGUAAGAAGUUGGAGGCAGUGUACAAGGAGUUCGAGCUGCAGAAGGUCUGCUACUUGCCUCUCAACACGUUCCUGCUGAAGCCCAUCCAGCGGCUGCUGCACUACCGCCUGCUGCUGCGCCGCCUAUGCGGACAUUACACCCCCGGGCACCAUGACUACGCUGACUGCCAUGACGCCCUGAAAGCCAUCACAGAGGUGACCACCACACUACAGCACAUUCUCAUCCGGCUGGAGAACCUGCAGAAGCUAACGGAGCUGCAGCGGGACCUGGUGGGCGUAGAGAACCUCAUUGCUCCUGGCAGGGAGUUCAUCCGUGAGGGCUGCCUUCACAAGCUCACCAAGAAGGGCCUGCAGCAGAGGAUGUUCUUUCUGGUUCUGAGCACCUGACUGUGGGACAAACAGAAGCCAAAAGAUUGUAAAGUCCACAUACAUGUGGCUGCAAGAAGGUGCUACUGAUGGCCCAAUGGCCAGUCGGGACAGUUUCACUGUUGGCUCAGAAGCCCCUCCCAGCAUGUCCUUGUUCCUACCAGUUAGUGGGUUCCAGCCUGAAACAUGUGGAUGAGGAGGUAACUGAGUCAGCACCAGCCAGAAUUCCUUACUGCCUCCAGCUUCUCAGCCAAGCUAGCUGGGAGCUGACCCAGCAGAUGCACUGGUUCCUGUGGCCCUUUCCUGCCUCUGGUCAAAAACGACCAAAUGAAUGAAUAAAAGUCCCCUUUCUGCCAAAAAUCUCCAGCAAGCUGCAUAGAUCUGAUGUGCACAUGAUGAGCAGCCAGAGUCUAAGUUGGUCUGACUAUUAAGACACUUGUUUGUGAAGUUCAUGGAUGUAAAGCUUGCUGCUUCUCAGUUCUCAGAUAUGUUGCUGUACACAAGCAAAGGAGUUGCAGGGACCAGCCACUUCCGGAUCCGGGGCCUCCUUCCCCUCCGAGGCAUGCUGGUGGAAGAAAGUGAUAACGAGUGGUCUGUUCCACACUGUUUCACCAUCUACGCGGCUCAGAAAACAAUCGUGGUGGCAGCCAGCACUCGGCUGGAGAAAGAGAAGUGGAUGCUGGACCUGAACUCCGCGAUCCAAGCAGCCAAGAGUGGCGGUGACACGGCCCCUGCACUGCCAGGCGGCACUGCGUGCACUCGUCCCCCCAGAUCCCCCAACGAGGUAUCUCUGGAGCAGGAGUCAGAAGAUGAUGCUCGGGGUGUCCGCAGCUCCCUGGAGGGGCAUGGCCAGCACCGGGCCAACACCACAAUGCACGUGUGCUGGUACCGGAACACCAGCGUGUCCAGGGCAGACCACAGUGCAGCUGUAGAGAACCAGCUUUCAGGAUAUCUGCUAAGAAAGUUCAAAAACAGUCAUGGCUGGCAGAAGCUCUGGGUCGUCUUUACCAACUUCUGUUUGUUCUUCUACAAAACUCAUCAGGAUGACUACCCACUGGCCAGCCUCCCGCUGCUGGGCUACAGCGUGAGCAUCCCCAGGGAGGCCGAUGGCAUACACAAAGACUAUGUUUUCAAGCUCCAGUUCAAAUCCCACGUCUACUUCUUCCGGGCUGAGAGCAAGUACACAUUUGAAAGGUGGAUGGAGGUGAUCCAGGGGGCCAGCAGCUCAGCCGGGAGGGCCCCAAGCAUCGUGCAGGAUGGCCCCCAACCCUCCUCAGGGCUGGAGGGGAUGGUCAGGGGGAAGGAGGAAUGACGCUCAACCUGCCCAGGUUUGGACACAACUACAAAGAACAGCAGGACACAGAGGUGACCUCUGUCCUGAGGCUUCUCAACAGAUGGGAAGUGGCUGUGGUCUCACUGGAUCCCCACUGGCACCAGCAGUGUGGGUGGGCCUCAGGUAACAUCUGGGAGGGGCUUCAUCCCCCCACCCAGGACCUAGUGCAUGCCGGCAGCUAUCUGGGGCCCUGGGGAAAAUGUGCGGGUCUUGAGCGUGGAGCCGCUCAAGCCACAGCUCCCAGGCCCCUGGCUCAAAGACGCAGACAAGGCCUGAGCAGUGCUCUCGGCAUCGGACCAAAGCCUGGGCACACCCUGCCUCUCUCCCCAGAGCAGGGUCCCUGCCGAGGACUGGCCUAGAGCAAGCACUGGAAAAGAGGCCCUGCCAUACACCCUGCAUACCCACUGCCAGGACCCUCUCAGACAAGCGUGACACAGCCAUGCUGACCUUCCAUCUGGUGAACCAAGUGGCAGCCCCAGGGGCCUGCCCUGCAGGUCACAGCUAAACAAGUCUGGUAGAAGCCACGCUUGUUCCCCAUGUACCUCUAGAGAAGCAGAAACCAAAGUCCCCCUGUGCCCUGGGAGGGUGGGGCCCUCUAAUUUAUUACUGCCCAGCAUUCCUUCCAACGGGAAGUAGAUGGGCGACUGCUUUGUUCACACACAUUUGAUUAAAAAUAAAUAAACAGCAUCUCCCCACCUGCA